rnacentral:rRNA from 1 species
AUACGGAGGGGGCUAGCGUUGUUCGGAUUUACUGGGCGUAAAGCGCACGUAGGUGGAUCAAUCAGUUGAGGGUGAAAUCCCAGGGCUCAACCCUGGAACUGCCUUCAAUACUGUUGAUCUUGAGUCCGAGAGAGGUGAGUGGAAUUCCUAGUGUAGAGGUGAAAUUCGUAGAUAUUAGGAAGAACACCAGUGGCGAAGGCGGCUCACUGGCUCGGUACUGACGCUGAGGUGCGAAAGCAUGGGGAGCAAACAGGAUUAGAAACCCCGGUAGUCC